rnacentral:tRNA from 4 species
GGUGAGAUAGCUCAGUUGGUUAGAGCACAGGAUUCAUAACCCUGAGGUCGAGGGUUCAACUCCCUCUCUCACCACCA